rnacentral:lncRNA from 1 species
CUACUUUUCAACUUUGCCUUUCCUCCUUGAGAAUCUACUGAACUAGAAAUGUGUCCUGCUCACAGACUGCGGCUUACCAGAGCCUUUGACUCCUCAGGGGUGGAGCAAAUGAUUUCCUUCUUGGACAAGGGCAAUCUGUGGCCAGUGUACAAGAGUUGCCAUGGCAACCCUGCAGCUGCGCUCUGCCUAGCAGAGACUCGGAAUACAAUGAUGCCCUUCAGAGAGCUGAAAGAUUGUCUGUUGCACGAGAAAACUUCCUUCUGGGAAAAAACAAUCCUUCUAACUUAGUGACACAAGAAGACCUGACUAUUUACACAAAGUGGCUUGUGUGUCACCUACACUCGCUCAGGACUGUUCACCACUACCUACGGUCCCUCCAGUAUUUGCCCAUCUCCAAAGUGCUGAGUGUAGCUAUUGAUGAAUUUCCUGAGGCUUGUCAGGAGAAUGAAAAUGUAUGUGUUGAUGACAUCGACCCUAAUAUCCAGAGUUCUGGAUCUCUAGACCCUGUGGAUACUAGCAUUUCAGGGCUGACAAGAACAGAAGCUGCUUUCUCCCUGCCCCAACACAUGACUGAAAGAGAAGGACUGAAACCCCAGCUGAGGCUCCUGCUCUCCCAUUUUAAUAUCCCAUAUGACGUGGAAGAGCUAAGGGAUGCUACUAAGGAAAUGGAACUCUUUAACCUGGUACUUGAUGGACUCUUUCUUAAUACGAAGAUAGGUGUUCGUGAAAGAAAACACUACUGUUUGCCACAAAGUUGGAUAUUUAUGCUGCCUCAAUUGUUUCUAGAGUGAUAAAAUUUAAUUGUAAUAGGUGAGAUUUAGAUUAGCACUUGAACUUCCCCUCUGUAAGAGUACUGGGUCUCUUGAAUAUACAACACAGAGGGAUCACAGGAUUUAUUUUUCUGUAGAAUUUGAAGAAAGAGUAGUUUAUAGUCCAUAGUAGAUGGUAUAAAAGUAGCCAAGACUUGGAAGAUAAUGGAGAAGACAACUAGAUAAUGGAGUUGUCUAGUGUCUUGAGCCCUUCGAUUCUCGGAAUGUGUUGUAGUAGCUCUCCUAUUGGCAAAAAUUCUUUAAAUUCAAUAGAGUUUUAUAUUAUGUAGUGAUUUUUUAAAGUCAUGCAGUCUGCUGAACUAUAACACAGUGUUGCACUUCCUUUAAAAAAAACUCGUAUUAAUAGAAACCAUGUUAAAACUCAUUUCAAAGGGAAAAAUAAAAUUAUGUAUGGAUAGCUUUAAAUUUAGAAUAUAAAGUUUUCAGCCAAAGCAUCAACAAUAAAGAUAUUACUUUAGGUCUGGGCGUGGAAUUUUGCAAGCAUAUGUAUUCGCUAGGGAAAAAUAGUAAAUUGAUUGAUCCAAACAGGCAAAACUAAAAUCUGAAUGUGUUUGAAUGCUCUUUGUGUAAGAAGGAGCCACUGUCCUCCCUGUCACCAUUUGCCAUGACAUUCAACUUUCACUUCCAUGUGUGCUUGUUCCAGCAUGAUUUUACUAGGAUUAUUUCUACUAAUAUGUAACAUGGUCUCUUUAUGCUUCCUGAAACCGGUGGUAUCACAUGUCCUCUGGUUUCUUUGAAGGUGAUGAUGUUUCAGCUCUUGCCUUUCUUUGCAGCAGAGCACUUCUAGGGAGUACCUUACCCUCAUUGUCAGCAAGCAUUGUGAUAAACAAAAACUGGAAUUGGAAUAAGACGGUGUUUUUAAAAGAGUCAAAAUAAACAAAAAUAAAUGAUAACACAGUAGCUAUCAUCAAUGAUAACAAACAAACAAACCAACCAACCCAUGAAGCUGCUGAGCAAACUUGUUCCAAAAGAACAGCUUGUUUCCUUUACAUAGCAAUACUUUCCACUUCUGAUUAUUUUGAACGUUUUUUUAAAUUUAUUUUUGAGAGAGACCAAGUGUGAGCAGGGGAGGGGCAGAGAAAGAGAGAGACAGAAUCUGAAGUAGGUUCCAGGCUCUGAGCUGUCAGCACAGAGCCAGAUGCGGGGCCUUAAACUCGUGAACCACAAGAUGAUGACCUGAGCUGAAGUCAGAUGCUUAACCGACUGAGCCACCCAGGCUCCCCCUCCACUUCUGAUUUUCUUGUAACAGUGUUAUGUGCAGUGCUUGUGCUCACAAGAUAAUCAAUCACAUUACAACAAUUUUUUGUGUGUGUAGGAAGAGUUCUUAUAUUUGGGUACUGUUUAUUCUGGUUCUCUAAUUCCUUAGAGCAGAGUCAGCAAAUGACAGCUGCAGGCCACCACCUGUUUUGUUUUCUUUUUUAAUAAAGUUUUAUUGGA